rnacentral:rRNA from 1 species
CCUACGGGUGGCAGCAGUGGGGAAUAUUGCACAAUGGGCGAGACCCUGAUCCAGCGACGUCGCGUGAGUGAUGAAUUCUUUCGGGAUUGAAAGCUCUAUCAGCAGGGAAGAAAAUGACGGUACCUGAUUAUGAAGCUCUGGCUAACUACGUUCCAGCAGCAGUGGUAAUACGUAGGGGGCAAGCGUUAUCCGGAUUUACUGGGGGUAAAGGGAGCGUAGACGGCGGCACAAGGCUGGAGUGAAAUGCUGGGGCUUAACGCGGGAACUGCUUUGGAAACUGUGCAGCUUGAGUACAGGGGAGGUAAGUGGAAUUCGUAGUGUAGCGGUGAAAUGCGUAGAUAUUAGGAAGAACACCAGUGGCGAAGGCGGCCUACUGAACUGUAACUGACGUUGAGGCUCGAAAGCGUGGGGAGCAAACAGGAUUAGAUACCCGGGUAGUC